AUACGUAGGUGGCAAGCGUUGUCCGGAAUUAUUGGGCGUAAAGGGCGUGUAGGUGGAUCUUUAAGUCUUGUGUCUAAGAGCGGUGCUCAACGCCGUAUGGGCGCAGGAAACUGGAGAUCUUGAGUGCAGGAGAGGAAAGUGGAAUUCCCAGUGUAGCGGUGAAAUGCGUAGAUAUUGGGAGGAACACCAGUGGCGAAGGCGACUUUCUGGACUGUGUCUGACACUGAGGCGCGAAAGCCAGGGGAGCGAACGGGAUUAGAUACCCCGGUAGUCCUGGCCGUAAACGAUGGGUACUAGGUGUAGAGGGUAUCGACCCCCUCUGUGCCGGAGUUAACGCAAUAAGUACCCCGCCUGGGGAGUACGGCCGCAAGGUUGAA
rnacentral:rRNA from 1 species